UGCAAGUCGAGCGGAAGGCCCUUCGGGGUACUCGAGCGGCGAACGGGUGAGUAACACGUGAGCAACCUGCCCCUGACUCUGGGAUAAGCCUGGGAAACCGGGUCUAAUACCGGAUAUGACACGCCUUCGCAUGGGGUGCGUGUGGAAAGUUUUUUCGGUUGGGGAUGGGCUCGCGGCCUAUCAGCUUGUUGGUGGGGUAGUGGCCUACCAAGGCGACGACGGGUAGCCGGCCUGAGAGGGCGACCGGCCACACUGGGACUGAGACACGGCCCAGACUCCUACGGGAGGCAGCAGUGGGGAAUAUUGCGCAAUGGGCGGAAGCCUGACGCAGCGACGCCGCGUGGGGGAUGACGGCCUUCGGGUUGUAAACCUCUUUCAGCAGGGACGAAGGUGACGUGUACCUGCAGAAGAAGCGCCGGCUAACUACGUGCCAGCAGCCGCGGUAAUACGUAGGGCGCAAGCGUUGUCCGGAAUUAUUGGGCGUAAAGAGCUCGUAGGUGGCUUGUCGCGUCGGGUGUGAAAGCGUGGGGCUUAACUCCAGGUCUGCAUUCGAUACGGGCUGGCUAGAGGUAGGUAGGGGAGAACGGAAUUCCUGGUGUAGCGGUGAAAUGCGCAGAUAUCAGGAGGAACACCGGUGGCGAAGGCGGUUCUCUGGGCCUUACCUGACGCUGAGGAGCGAAAGCGU
rnacentral:rRNA from 1 species